rnacentral:misc_RNA from 1 species
GCAAGAUUUACAUGUUCUAGUGUAACCCUGCUUCACAUAUAUCACAGCUUCUAAUAGUGUGAGCCUCUUUAAUACAACAGAAGUACUUGUGAGUCGAGACGAAAAGGAGACGCAGAGACGCAAUUUUACAUGACUGCAUGCACCAACUUAAAUUUAUGGUGAUACAACUCAUCCAUAUUACAGCUGCAAAUCCUACCACAAACUCGUUAUCCUGACCCUAAACUGAUGCCUAUUACAAGACCCUCAACGAUACAUCAUAAAAUGAGAGGUGAGUAGCAGAUAAAUUAAAAGAAAGAAAACAACAAUCUUACGUUGUCUUUAUUAUCCCCUGUAUAUAACAGAUGUAAGAAUUUACUUUCAGUUUCUAUAUCAGAAACAGAAGGCAAAUGAAUCUGAAUCUGCCACUUCAUCCAAUUUCUCACAAGAAUAAUUACGGACAAUAUUUUCCAUCUGCAAUGCGAGCUUGGCAACAUUUGGACUUCAUCUUGGAUAUCUGGUGGCAUGACGAUAUCUAUUUCAAGCAUGACCCUCGUUGACAUGACUUUGGACUUCGUUUUGGCUGUCCAGAGGCAUAUAUUGUGCCAUAAUAGCCCUGAUCUCUGAAUCCAUGUAUGACCUUAAUCUGUAUUUGUACACAAGAUAUGCGCCGCCACCAGCCAUAGCCAAUCCAAUCAAAAUAGCCCAAACUGCAGCCCAUGCCGAUUUGACUUCCCUAGCUCUCUUGCUUAUGCAGGUAUCAUGGUCUCUGAUGUACAGUAGUUCCCCACUGCAAC